rnacentral:lncRNA from 1 species
GUUUAAUUGUAGAAGAAGGUGGAAUGGAUUGUUGGCUAAAGACAAGAAACACAGGACUGCUGUUGAAAUGCAAGUGAAUAAGGAUGAUAAGAAUGAUAGUGAUUCUGAAAAUUCGUUUUUGUAUGAGCUGAAUUGUGUUCCCUACCCCACAACAAAUGCAUAUGUUGAAGUCCUAACUUCAAGUACUUCCGAAUGUGUCUGUGUUUAGAGAUAAGGUCUUUUAAGAGGUAAUUAAGUUAAAAUGAGGUCAUUAGGGCAGGCCCUAAUCCACUAUGACUGCUGUCCUUAUAAGAGGAGGAAAUUUGAACACAGACACACACAGAGAGGAGACCAUGAAGACACAGGGAGAAGACAACUAUCUCCAAGCCAAGGAAAGAGGCCACAGAAGAAACCAAUCCUGCCAACUCCUUGAUCUUGGCACCUAGUCUCCAGAAUUGAAGUCAACUGCCAUUUUAUGAGCUGUGAGCUGCCCUAUGGAGAGGUCCACAUGGUAAGGAACUGAUGUCUCUGGCCAACAGCCAGAGAGGACUGAAUCCUUCUAGCUACCACAGAAGUGAGUUUGGAAGCAGAUCCUUCCCCAAGCUGAGCCUUCAGAUGAGACCACAGACCAUGCACUGCACCUUGAUUGCAGCCUUCUGAGAGACCCUAAGCCAGAGACAUCCAACUACACCAUGCUCAAGUUGCUGACCCACAGAUACCAUGAGAUAAUAAAUGUUGUCUUAAGCUACUGAUUUUGGGGUAAUUUGCUUUGAAGUAAUAGAUAGCUAAUGCAAUCUUCAAUAAUAU